rnacentral:rRNA from 1 species
AGCAAAGCCAUAUCACCCUGUAGCCCAAGACUGGUUGCCCACUGAAGCUAAGCAGGGUUGAGCCUGGUCAGUACCUGGAUGGGAGACCUCCUGGGAAAACUAGGUUGCUGUUGGAA